UUACCGGAUUAGCUGAGAGGUGGUGCAUGGCCGUCGUCAGUUCGUACUGUGAAGCAUCCUGUUAAGUCAGGCAACGAGCGCAGCCCUCGACCUUAGUUGCCAGCAUUCAGUUGGGCACUCUAAGGUGACUGCCGGCUAAAAGUCGGAGGAAGUGGGGAUGACGUCAAAUCAUCAUGCCCCUUAUGACCUGGGCUACACACGUGCUACAAUGGGCGGUACAAAGGGUCGCGAACCCGCGAGGGGGAGCCAAUCCCAAAAAGCCGCUCUCAGUUCGGAUUGCAGGCUGCAACUCGCCUGCAUGAAGCCGGAAUCGCUAGUAAUCGCGGAUCAGCAUGCCGCGGUGAAUACGUUCCCGGGCCUU
rnacentral:rRNA from 1 species